GCGUCGGUGGCGCAAUGGUUAGCAUAAGCUCCCGAAAAGAGUGAGUUCUGGGUUCGAAUCACGGCUGGUGCA